GUAGGUGGCAAGCGUUGUCCGGAAUUAUUGGGCGUAAAGCGCGCGCAGGUGGUUCUUUAAGUCUGAUGUGAAAGCCCCCGGCUCAACCGGGGAGGGUCAUUGGAAACUGGGGAACUUGAGUGCAGGAGAGGAAAGUGGAAUUCCACGUGUAGCGGUGAAAUGCGUAGAUAUGUGGAGGAACACCAGUGGCGAAGGCGACUUUCUGGCCUGUAACUGACACUGAGGCGCGAAAGCGUGGGGAGCAAACAGGGAUUAGAUACCCUGGUAGUCCACGCCGUAAACGAUGAGUGCUAAGUGUUGGGGGGGUUUCCCGCCCCCCCUCAGUGCUGCAGCUAACCGCAUUAAGCACUCCCGGUCCUGGGGGUAGUACGGUCGCAAGACUG
rnacentral:rRNA from 1 species